CAGCACACAACCUCCUCCACGUCAUUUCACUUGUGGUCUUCAGCCCAUGCUUCGUGGGUUUUUAUGAGCAGCAAUAAAGCAGCCACGAAAGAAAGUCCACUUGCUGUCUACACCUGCAUGAUCCCACUCUGUACCCAGCCAGACUUCACGGAGGAACCAAGCCGAUGUCCUAAGGAAUCCACUGCAGGCAACAUACUCAUGCAUCCCCUCUGCGCCUAGGCUGCUCCUGGUGAUGUCCCUUCCUUGUGCAAUUCCUUUUUGGUGUGAGAGCAGAGAUGACAUGAUUUCUAUUCUGAUUUUGUGAAGGCAUAUUUUAUGGCCUAGAAUGUGGUCUAGCUUGGUGAGUGUUUCAUGUGGGCUUCAGAAGGACAUGCAUUCUGUUGUUGGAUGAAAUAGUCUAUAUGCAGUUGGAUGAAGCAGUAUUAUAUCCAGUUGACUCAUGGUGCUGUGGAGCUCAACUAUGCCUUUAGUGCAUUUCUUCCUAAAGAUUCUAUCCAUUUCUCACAGUAGUAUUGAAGUCUGCAACUCUAAAAGUGGAUUCAUCUUUUCCUUCUUGGAGUUAUGUCAGUUUUUGCCUCAUGUGUCUUGACAUUCUGUUGUUAAAUGCACACAUGUUAAGGAUUAUUAUUUCUUAGAGAAUUCAUUGACACCGUUAUUCUUUAGUAAUGCCUCUCUUUAUUCAUGAUAAGUUUUACUCUGAAAUCUGCUCUGAAAUUAAUAUAACUGAUUGCACUUUUUCUUAUUAGUGUUAGUAUGGCAUAUUUUUCUUUACCUAUUUGCUUUAUGUGUCUUUAAAUUUAAAGUACGUUUCUUGUAGAAAGUAGUUGGGUCUUGUUUUUUUAUUCACUCUGACAAUCUAUGUGUUUUACCUGGUGCACUUAAGCCACUGAUAUUCAAAAUGAUUGCUGACAUAGUUGGAUUACUAUGUGUCAUAUUUAUUACUGUUUUCUAUUUGUUGACUUUUUAAUUUUUUUCCAAUUUUUGCCCUCCACUCUUUUUUUUUUUUGCCUUUUGUGGUUUUAACUAUUUGAUUUUUUCCAUUUUGCCUCCUAUCUUAGUAUACAAGUUGUACUUUUUUAGUGGUUGCUGUAGAGUUUGCAGUUUACAAAAACUACAAAUCCACUCUCAAAUAAGAUCAUAGUACUUCAUAGACAAUGUAGGCACCUUAUAAUAACAAAAUAAUCCUAAUUCCUUUCUCCCAUCCCUUUCUUUGUAUCUUUCCAGUUGUUCAUUUUUCUUAUAAACACGCACAAUCAAAUACUUGGCUGAUACUUGAACAGUUAUCUGUUAGACCUGUUAAAUCAAGUUUAGCCUAAAGUUGCCUCCCUGUGUAUUUUAAGUUUGGUCUAAGAGUUUAUCUGUACAUCGUGAACUAUAACAAGUGGAGUUGUAAACAGACCAUAGCCUACACUCGUGCCAGUCACCCAGUUUUCACCAAUCAAAUGUAGCUAACUGUUUGAACCAUGUUCAAAUAAGGCAAACACCAAGCUGUAACCAAUCCAGCUGUUCCUGUGUCUCACUUCCAUUUUCUGUGUGUCACUUUCCUUUUUCUGUCCAUAAAUCUUCUUCCACCAUGUGGCUGUGCCGGAGCCUCCAAGCCUACUCUGUCAGGGAAGGCUGCCCAAUUCGCGAGUCGUUCAUUGCUCCAUUGCACUCCUUCAAAUUUAAUUUGGCUGAGGUUUUUCUUUUAUCAGAUGAUGUCAGAAGCAAGGUCUGAAGUAGAG
rnacentral:lncRNA from 1 species